rnacentral:tRNA from 1 species
GAGGUUGUGGCUCAGCGGUAGAGCACUCACCUAGCACAUGUGAGGCCCUGGGUUCAAUCCUCAGCACCACA